rnacentral:rRNA from 1 species
UGGGGAAUAUUGCACAAUGGGCGCAAGCCUGAUGCAGCCAUGCCGCGUGUAUGAAGAAGGCCUUCGGGUUGUAAAAAUCUUUUCUAUGGGAAGAAAAUGACAGUACCAUAGGAAUAAGGACCGGCUAAUUACGUGCCAGCAGCCGCGGUAAUACGUAAGGUCCGAGCGUUGUCCGGAAUCAUUGGGCGUAAAGGGUACGUAGGCGGGUAAGCAAGUUAGAAGUGAAAUCCUAUAGCUCAACUAUAGUAAGCUUUUAAAACUGCUCAUCUUGAGGUAUGGAAGGGAAAGUGGAAUUCCUAGUGUAGCGGUGAAAUGCGCAGAUAUUAGGAGGAAUACCGGUGGCGAAGGCGACUUUCUGGCCAUAACCUGACGCUGAGGUACGAAAGCGUGGGUAGCAAACAGG